UACGGGGGGGGCAAGCGUUGUUCGGAAUUACUGGGCGUAAAGGGCGCGUAGGCGGCCUUCUAAGUCAGACGUGAAAUCCCUCGGCUCAACCGAGGAACUGCGUCUGAUACUGGAAGGCUUGAAUCCGGGAGAGGGAUGUGGAAUUCCAGGUGUAGCGGUGAAAUGCGUAGAUAUCUGGAGGAACACCGGUGGCGAAGGCGGCAGUCCUGGACCGGUAUUGACGCUGAGGCGCGAAAGCUAGGGGAGCAAACGGGG
rnacentral:rRNA from 1 species